UGGGGAAUUUUGGACAAUGGACGAAAGUCUGAUCCAGCGACGCCGCGUGAAGGACGAAGGUUUUCGGAUCGUAAACUUCUUUUGCAGGGGACGAAAGCGGGCAACCGUUUGACGGUACUCUGCGAAUAAGCCACGGCUAACUACGUGCCAGCAGCCGCGGUAAUACGUAGGUGGCGAGCGUUACUCGGAAUUACUAGGCGUAAAGCGCGUGUAGGCGGGAGCUUAAGUCCGCUGUUAAAUCUCACAGCCCAACUGUGAAAUGCCGGCGGAUACUGGGUUUCUUGAAUUCGGUAGAGGUAACUGGAAUUCCGUGUGUAGCGGUGAAAUGCGUAGAUAUACGGAAGAACGCCAAAGGCGAAGGCAGGUUACUGGGCCGCAAUUGACGCUGAGACGCGAAAGC
rnacentral:rRNA from 1 species